UGAGUACGAGAUGCUACGGCAUCGAAGCAGUCUAUGUCAUACUUCCAAGAAAAGCUUGCAAUGUCAUAAACAAAUAAUGCCUGUACCAUAACCGACACAGGUGGGUAGGUAGAGUAUACUAAGGGGCGCGAGAUAACUCUCUCUAAGGAACUCGGCAAAAUGACUCCGUAACUUCGGGAGAAGGAGUGCCUUAUUUUUAUAAGGUUGCAAUAACAAGAUCCAAGCAACUGUUUACCAAAAACACAGGUCUCCGCUAAGUCGUAAGACGAUGUAUGGGGGCUGACGCCUGCCCAGUGCCAGAAGGUUAAAGAAGUUGGUUAGCAUUAGCGAAGCUGAUAACUGAAGCCCUGGUGAACGGCGGCCGUAACAAUAACGGUCCUAAGGUAGCGAAAUUCCUUGUCGGGUAAGUUCCGACCCGCACGAAAGGCGUAAUGAUUUGGAUACUGUCUCGGAGAGGGGCUCGGUGAAAUAGACUUGUCUGUGAAGAUGCGGACUACCUGCACCUGGACAGAAAGACCCUAUGAAGCUUUACUGUAACUUGAGAUUGAAAUUGGACUUUAUCUGCGCAGUAUAGGUGGGAGACGUUGAAAGAUAUUCUUGCGGGAAUAUUGGAGUCAUCAGUGAGAUACCACUCUUAUAAUGUUAGAUUUCUAACUUUGUAUCAUUAUCUGGUCAAAGAACAGAUUCAGGCGGGCAGUUUGACUGGGGCGGUCGCCUCCCAAACGGUAACGGAGGCGCACAAAGGUUUCCUCUGAACGUGUAGAAAUCGUAUCUAGAGUGUAAAGGCAUAAGGAAGCUUGACUGUGAGACCUACAAGUCGAGCAGGGACGAAAGUCGGUCUUAGUGAUCUGACGGUGCUGAGUGGAAAGGCCGUCACUCAACGGAUAAAAGUUACUCUAAGGAUAACAGGCUGAUCUCCCCCAAGAGUUCACAUCGACGGGGAGGUUUGGCACCUCGAUGUCGGCUCAUCGCAUCCUGGGGCGGUAGUACGUCCCAAGGGUUGGGCUGUUCGCCCAUGAAAGCGGUACGCGAGCUGGGUUCAGAACGUCGUGAGACAGUUCGGUCCAUAUCCGGUGUAGGCGUUAGAAUAUUGAGAGGAGCCUUCUUUAGUACGAGAGGACCGAGAAGGACAUACCUCUGGUGUACCAGUUAUCGUGCCAACGGUAAACGCUGGGUAGCCAUGUAUGGAGAGGAUAACCGCUGAAAGCAUCUAAGUGGGAAGCCCACCUCAAGAUAAGUAUUCGC
rnacentral:rRNA from 1 species